rnacentral:rRNA from 1 species
UAUGGGGGGAGCAAGCGUUGUUCGGAUUUACUGGGCGUAAAGGGCGCGUAGGCGGCCACCGCAAGUCGACUGUGAAAUCUCCGGGCUUAACUCGGAAAGGUCAGCCGAUACUGCGGGGCUAGAGUGCAGAAGGGGCAACUGGAAUUCUCGGUGUAGCGGUGAAAUGCGUAGAUAUCGAGAGGAACACCUGCGGCGAAGGCGGGUUGCUGGGCUGACACUGACGCUGAUUGUGCGAAAGCUAGGGGAGCGAACGGG